GCCAGGUGUGGUGGCUCACACCUGUAAUCCCAGCACUUUGGGAGGCUGAGGUGGGAGGAUAACCUGAGGUCAGGAGUUUGAGACUAGCCUGACCAAUAUGGUGAAACCCCAUCUCUA
ensembl:misc_RNA Metazoa_SRP Metazoan signal recognition particle RNA